AAUAAGAUGCCUGACAAAAGGGCUAUUUUGAUAGAAUAGAAUAUGUAGAUCUUCUACUCUUAUUA
rnacentral:tRNA from 2 species